UGGCUCAGGAUGAACGCUAGCGGCAGGCCUAAUACAUGCAAGUCGAACGGUUAUAGCAAUAUGACGAGUGGCGCACGGGUGAGUAACGCGUACAAAAUCUGCCUCGAACUGGGGGAAAGUCAUUGGAAACGAUGAAUAAUCCCGCAUAAUGUGCUGAUGGGGCAUCCUGUUGGCAAGAAAGACUUCGGUUGGUUUGAGAUGAUUGUGCGUCUGAUUAGCUAGUUGGCGAGGUAAAGGCUCACCAAGGCGACGAUCAGUAGGGGGCGUGAGAGCGUGACCCCCCAACGGGUACUGAGAACGGACCCGACUCCUACGGGGAGGCAGCAGUAAGGAAUAUUGGGCAAUGGGCGCAAGCCUGACCCAG
rnacentral:rRNA from 1 species